AUUGAACGAGGGAGGCAGGCCUAACACAUGCAAGUCGAGCGGAUGAAGGGAGCUUGCUCCUGGAUUCAGCGGCGGACGGGUGAGUAAUGCCUAGGAAUCUGCCUGGUAGUGGGGGAUAACGUCCGGAAACGGGCGCUAAUACCGCAUACGUCCUGAGGGAGAAAGUGGGGGAUCUUCGGACCUCACGCUAUCAGAUGAGCCUAGGUCGGAUUAGCUAGUUGGUGGGGUAAAGGCCUACCAAGGCGACGAUCCGUAACUGGUCUGAGAGGAUGAUCAGUCACACUGGAACUGAGACACGGUCCAGACUCCUACGGGAGGCAGCAGUGGGGAAUAUUGGACAAUGGGCGAAAGCCUGAUCCAGCCAUGCCGCGUGUGUGAAGAAGGUCUUCUGAUUGUAAAGCACUUUAAGUUGGGAGGAAGGGCAGUAAGUUAAUACCUUGCUGUUUUGACGUUACCAACAGAAUAAGCACCGGCUAACUUCGUG
rnacentral:rRNA from 1 species